rnacentral:rRNA from 1 species
AGUGAACGCUGGCGGUAGGCCUAACACAUGCAAGUCGAACGGCAGCACAGGAGAGCUUGCUCUCUGGGUGGCGAGUGGCGGACGGGUGAGGAAUACAUCGGAAUCUACUCUGUCGUGGGGGAUAACGUAGGGAAACUUACGCUAAUACCGCAUACGACCUACGGGUGAAAGCAGGGGAUCUUCGGACCUUGCGCGAUUGAAUGAGCCGAUGUCGGAUUAGCUAGUUGGCGGGGUAAAGGCCCACCAAGGCGACGAUCCGUAGCUGGUCUGAGAGGAUGAUCAGCCACACUGGAACUGAGACACGGUCCAGACUCCUACGGGAGGCAGCAGUGGGGAAUAUUGGACAAUGGGCGCAAGCCUGAUCCAGCCAUACCGCGUGGGUGAAGAAGGCCUUCGGGUUGUAAAGCCCUUUUGUUGGGAAAGAAAUCCAGCUGGCUAAUACCCGGUUGGGAUGACGGUACCCAAAGAAUAAGCACCGGCUAACUUCGUGCCAGCAGCCGCGGUAAUACGAAGGGUGCAAGCGUUACUCGGAAUUACUGGGCGUAAAGCGUGCGUAGGUGGUCGUUUAAGUCCGUUGUGAAAGCCCUGGGCUCAACCUGGGAACUGCAGUGGAUACUGGGCGACUAGAGUGUGGUAGAGGGUAGCGGAAUUCCUGGUGUAGCAGUGAAAUGCGUAGAGAUCAGGAGGAACAUCCAUGGCGAAGGCAGCUACCUGGACCAACACUGAC